CAAUCAUAAAAUAGGCUUGGAAGCAGCCAUUUUUUUAAGAAAGCGUAACAGCUCAUUGAUUAAGUUUUUUUGUAUCGAAAAUUUAGUGAGUCUAAGUUUAUAACCGAAUUGGUAAUUUUGGUAGCAGAACGUUUUAUAUAUUUUUGAAGAUUAUUUGUUAAAAUAAUUCGAGAUAUUAAAAGUGAGUAUACUGGCAUUAGUAGCUAAAAACAAUGAAUUAACAUUGUCGCCGUAAAUUAAAAGUUUUCAAUCCUCUUUUAUAAAAGAUUGAAGUUAAAAAUUUAAACGGUCUCUAAGACAAAUUACGAAUGUAUAAGUUAAUGAGAAAUAUUUAGUUUUUGUGACAAAAUUUUAAAAAUUUAUUUUAUAUUGAUUCAUAAAAUAAAUUUAAAUGAUUUUCUGGAAAUAGCAUAAAUAUAACCCGUACUUUAAACCGACACAGGUAAAUUAGUAGAAUAUACUAAGGCGUUCAAGAUAACUAUGUUGAAGGAACUCGGCAAAAUAGCUCUGUAACUUAGGAAGAAGGAGUGAUAAAAUUAUAUUUUAUUGACACUAAAGAAGGAGAAGCGACUGUUUAAUAAAAACACAUGUCUCUGCUAAUUCGAAAGAAGAUGUAUAGGGGCUGACACCUGCCCGGUGCUGCAAGGCUAAAUGCGAUUGUUUAGGCAAUCAAUUGAAUUCCCAGUAAACGGCGGCUGUAACUCUGACGGUCCAAAGGUAGCGAAAUUCCUUGUCGGGUAAGUUCCGACCUGCAUGAAUGGUGUAACGACUUCUCCGCUGUCUCCAACAUAGGCUUGGUGAAUUUGAAAUAUCCGUGAAGAUGCGGAUUAAUUGCAGCUAGACGGAAAGACCCCGUGCACCUUUACUAUGAUUUUAAGUUGUAAAGUUUUAAUUUUUGUGUAGAAUAGGUGGGAGUAAAAAACAUCAAGUGAAAUACCACCCUUAAAUUUUAGCUUUACUUAAUUUUAUAAACAGCUUAUGAGAGGUAGUUUGACUGGGGCGGUCACCUCCUAAAAAGUAACGGAGGUGUACAAAGGCAGAUUUAAAUAUUAAUUUAUUUUUAAACGUAAUGGUGUAUAUCUGCUUAACUGAUAAGAUUAACAAAUCAAACAGGGAUAAAAUUUUUUUAAAUUUAGUCGGUCAUAGUGAUCUGGUGAAUUUGAGUAGAAAAUUCAUCACGCAACGAAUAAAAGGUACGCCGGGGAUAACAGGCUUAUAAUUUUUGAGAGUUCAUAUCGACGAAAUUGUUUGGCACCUCGAUGUCGGCUCAUCACAUCCUGGAGCUGUAAAUGGUUCCAAGGGUUCGGCUGUUCGCCGAUUAAAGUGGUACGUGAGCUGGGUUUAGAACGUCGUGAGACAGUUCGGUCCCUAUCUACUGUAAUUGAAGAAAAUUGAAAGGAUUAAAUUUUAGUACGAGAGGACCAAAUUACGUAAAACCUCUGGUGUACCAGUUGUUUCAUCAGAAGCAACGCUGGGUAGCUAAGUUUAUAAGAGAUAAUCGCUGAAAGCAUCUAAGCGAGAAACUUACCUUAAAAAAAAUUUUUUAGAAUCGUAAAAUAUUAUUACGUUGAUAGGCUUAAAAUGUAAGAGCUGUGAGGCUUUUAGUUUAUAAGUACUAAAUUUUCAUAUAUAUAUU
rnacentral:rRNA from 1 species